GAUGAACGCUGGCGGCGUGCUUAAUACAUGCAAGUCGAGCGAGGACCAUUCGGUGGCAACACCGGGUGACUCCUAGCGGCGAACGGGUGAGUAACACGUGGGCAACCUGCCCCCGACUCU
rnacentral:rRNA from 1 species